AUUGAACGCUGGCGGCAUGCCUUACACAUGCAAGUCGAACGGUAACAGGUUAAGCUGACGAGUGGCGAACGGGUGAGUAAUACAUCGGAACGUGCCCAGACGUGGGGGAUAGCUCGGCGAAAGCAGGAUUAAUACCGCAUAAGCGCUGAGGAGGAAAUCGGGGGACCGUAAGCCCUCGGGCGUAUGGAGCGGCCGAGGGCAGAUUAGGUAGUUGGUGGGGUAAAGGCUUACCAAGCCUACGAUCUGGAGCUGGUCUGAGAGGACGACCAGCCACACUGGGACUGAGACACGGCCCAGGCGCCUACGGGAGGCAGCAGUGGGGAAUUUUGAACAAUGGGCGAAAGCCUGAUCCAGCAAUGCCGCGUGCAGGAUGAAGGCCUUCGGGUUGUAAACUGCUGUUGUACGGAACGAAAAGGCGCCUACUAAUACUGGGUGUUGAUGACGGUACCGUAAGAAUAAGCACCGGCUAACUACGUGCCAGCAGCAGCCGCCGUAA
rnacentral:rRNA from 1 species